rnacentral:rRNA from 1 species
CACGUAGGGGGCGAGCGUUGUCCGGAUUCAUUGGGCGUAAAGAGCUCGUAGGCGGCUCAGUAAGUCGGGUGUGAAACCCUCAGGCUCAACCUGGGGACGCCACUCGAUACUGCUGUGGCUAGAGUCCAGUAGAGGAGUGUGGAAUUCCCGGUGUAGCGGUGAAAUGCGCAGAUAUCGGGAGGAACACCUAUGGCGAAGGCAGCUCGCUGGGACGUUACUGACGCUGAGACGCGAAAGCGUGGGGAGCAAACAGG